rnacentral:tRNA from 1 species
AAGGAGUUAGUUUAAAAAAAACAUUAAAACGUCAAUUUAAAUUUAUAAAAUUAUACACCUUA